rnacentral:RNase_P_RNA from 1 species
CAACCGAGCGGCGCAAUCGCGUGAUAUGUCGCCGAAAGGUAUUAUCGCGAGGAAAGUCCGAGCUUCACAGGGCAGGAUAACGGAUAACGUCCGCCGAGGGUGACCUCCGGGAAAGUGCAACAGAAAUAGACCGCCGCGCAAGCGGUAAGGAUGGAAAGGCGAGGUAAGAGCUCACCGGCACGGCAGGCAACUGCGUGCAAAUGUAAACCCUAUCCGAAGCAACACCGCAUGGGGACGCCGCAAGGCGUGUCUGCCCGACAUAUGUCCCCGGGUGGCAGCGCAUAUGCGCAAGCAGUUCCGGCAACGGGCUGCGCAGAUAGAUGAUUGCGGCGCGCAUCGCGCGCACAGAACUCGGCUUACAAACUCGUGUUGCAGA